rnacentral:sRNA from 12 species
GGUUUAAUUACCCAAGUUUGAGGUAAUUGAAUGUUUCGGCCCAUAGCUUCAGCUACUGUGGCUUGAAAUAAAAUUUUGGAACGUUCUGCAAAUCUGCUGGGACAAC